rnacentral:rRNA from 1 species
AACGAACGCUGGCGGCAGGCUUAACACAUGCAAGUCGAACGCCCCGCAAGGGGAGUGGCAGACGGGUGAGUAACGCGUGGGAAUCUACCCUGAUCUGCGGGAUAGCUCCGGGAAACUGGAAUUAAUACCGCAUGUGCCCUGAGGGGCAAAGGUUUACCGGAUUGGGAUGAGCCCGCGUCCGAUUAGCUAGUUGGUGGGGUAAAGGCCUACCAAGGCGACGAUCGGUAGCUGGUCUAAGAGGAUGAUCAGCCACAUUGGGACUGAGACACGGCCCAAACUCCUACGGGAGGCAGCAGUGGGGAAUAUUGGACAAUGGGCGCAAGCCUGAUCCAGCCAUGCCGCGUGAGUGAUGAAGGCCCUAGGGUUGUAAAGCUCUUUCAGUGGGGACGAUAAUGACGGUACCCACAGAAGAAGCCCCGGCUAACUUCGUGCCAGCCGCCGCCGUAA